UUAAAAAAAAAAAAAAAAAAGCCUUUUGUUAAAACACAGCUCCAAGCGGACUGGGAAGCAGCCCCACCGCCUCCCCGACCCGGGGCGGGCUGUGUCGUGAGCGCGAAGCUGGUGUGAAGAAAACACAAACUCCAGCAGAAGGGACGCGGAACAUGCAGGAGACCAUGGCAAACGGAGCUACUCCUGACGCCUCCCCUCCCUCCCGCCUGCCCGGGGCCUGGCCUGGAGUGACCGGAGCACAGGACCCAGGGCCCAGAGGACAGGGCCCAGGACCCGCGCAUGGCCUGAAGAGCAGCAGUGACAUUGAGCAGAAGCUCCUUCAGGGCAGGCAAGGUGCUGCACAUGUGUCUGUCCCUCCCGGAGACGCUGGCAUGUGGUAGAGAGUGGACAUCAACAUAUAUCCACCAGGGAAUAAACACACGGCCCAGCUGGGAAACGCCCCUCAAGAGGGGGACAGCAGGCAGGCCACGUUUUUGGCCCCAUCGGCAUCCUGGGGGCUGCAGGACAUGGAGGUGGGACUGCCCGAUGGGGGGACUGUCGUUACUUUGCUUUAUCUUUUUGAUUGAUUGAUGGAUUGAUUGAUUUGUAUUUUAGGGCCACACCUGUG